rnacentral:rRNA from 1 species
GAUGAACGCUGGCGGCGUGCCUAAUACAUGCAAGUCGAGCGAACAGACGAGGAGCUUGCUCCUCUGACGUUAGCGGCGGACGGGUGAGUAACACGUGGAUAACCUACCUAUAAGACUGGGAUAACUUCGGGAAACCGGAGCUAAUACCGGAUAAUAUAUUGAACCGCAUGGUUCAAUAGUGAAAGACGGUUUUGCUGUCACUUAUAGAUGGAUCCGCGCCGCAUUAGCGAGUUGGUAAGGUAACGGCUUACCAAGGCGACGAUGCGUAGCCGACCUGAGAGGGUGAUCGGCCACACUGGAACUGAGACACGGUCCAGACUCCUACGGGAGGCAGCAGUAGGGAAUCUUCCGCAAUGGGCGAAAGCCUGACGGAGCAACGCCGCGUGAGUGAUGAAGGUCUUCGGAUCGUAAAACUCUGUUAUUAGGGAAGAACAAAUGUGUAAGUAACUAUGCACGUCUUGACGGUACCUAAUCAGAAAGCCACGGCUAACUACGUG